UACGAAGGUGGCAAGCGUUGUUCGGAUUUACUGGGCGUAAAGGGAGCGUAGGUGGUUAGGUAAGCCCUCCGGGAAAUCUUCAGGCUUAACCUGAAAAGGUCGGGGGGGACUGCCUGGCUAGAGGACGGGAGAGGAGCGCGGAAUUCCCGGUGUAGCGGUGAAAUGCGUAGAGAUCGGGAGGAAGGCCGGUGGCGAAGGCGGCGCUCUGGAACGUUUCUGACACUGAGGCUCGAAAGCGUGGGGAGCGAACAGG
rnacentral:rRNA from 1 species